GGUAAGUGACAGCUACGGCAUCACUUCCCGACCAUAUAUGGUCAGCCGUUUUUAUCCUCCUUCGGGGAACACACUUAUAGGUUCGAUAGAACACUGAAUAAUUAAUUUAAAAGGUGGUGUCGGC
rnacentral:sRNA from 12 species